rnacentral:lncRNA from 1 species
UUAAUAAUUUAUUUCCCAAAAAAUCUUAACAUAUACAAUUUGAUAAAAUAAUAUAUUUUACUUAUAAAAUAAUUUAUUUUAUUCUAAAAAAAUAUUAGAUAUCAAAUAUGAUAUACCAUUCUAGAUAUCUGAUUACACUCUUCACUACAACAGAAUUAGGUUAUAGGAACACAUGUUUGGGACACUUUUGAGUAAGUGUCCCAUUUAUGCUAAAACUUAAAAACACAUCUACUAAUGCCUAAAUAUAAAGCCCAAUCCAACCAAAUAUAAAAGAUUACUCUACUCAACCCACCACACCCAGUUCAUUUGGCCUGAUUACAAACAGAAAAGAAAAAAAAAAGAAAAAUCAAUUACCAUCUUUUCUUCUCUCUUCACUCAAUCCACUGAAAUUCUAGACGAAGAGCCUUUACUGUCGUCCUCCUUCGCCACCGCAGCCAACGAGAUAGAGUUUCGGCGGUUGCUAAAUGCUUAAAUAAGUGUGGAUAAAUUAGCAGCACUCUUUUAGGUUAUAGCGACACUCUUUAACUGUCUCUAUAUACCUAGCGACCCCACAUAUAGCAACACUUUUUAAAAGUGUCGGUAAUUUUAGCUAGCAGCACUUUUUUGACAUGUACCUACGUUUAAAAGUUUCGCUGUAGGCCGUUUUUGUUGUAGUGCUUUGUUCUAUCAAACACUAUAAUUUUUUUUAAAAAAUAAUUAAAAAAAAUAUACCGAACGAGAUAUUCAUAUGUCCUGAUAGGAUCUAAGUGCAUGCGUGUAUACCCUCAGGUACAUAAUUACUUAAUAGGUUACUUAUUAGUACUACUUGUCACCCAUGGUUAAAUAAAUAAAUAGUUAUGUUGGAAGCGUGAUUUGCUCUAAUACCAUUUGUAUAAUUCAGGAUCUAAAAUAGUACAAAAUAAUAUGGAGAAAAAAUAUUAAAGGAGGAAGAAAAUAACUAUAUUAAUAUAUAAAUAAUUAAUUACAUUCUGGACAACACCUAUGCAGCUACAUCUACUAUGGUAUAUUCAUCUAAUUAACCCAUGCCUAACAAUAUAUAGCUCUCAAAUCAUAACAGAUAAUAAAUCUAAUUUUAUUUUGGAUAAUUACAUAUCUUAGCCAUAAUCGA